rnacentral:rRNA from 1 species
UACAGAGGUCUCGAGCGUUAGGCGGAAUCACUGGGCUUAAAGCGUGUGUAGGUGGAUGCCUAAGUACCUUGUGAAAUCCCACGGCUUAACCGUGGAACUGCUUGGUAUACUGGGUAUCUUGAGCCACUUAGGGGCAACCGGAACAAACGGUGGAGCGGUGAAAUGCGUAGAUAUCGUUUGGAACGCCAAUGGUGAAAACAGGUUGCUGGGAGUGUGCUGACGCUGAGACACGAAAGCCAGGGGAGCAAACGGG